UGUGUGUCUGCUUCAUCAUUCAUCAUUCAUCUAUCAACUUCUGUUGGGAAUGAUGUUCCUCCUUCUGUUAAACAACUAAAACAGAAGUACAAACCGUGUCUGAGGACGGGAGCAUAGUGGAACAGACGCCGGUACAAACCCUGGGUCAGAGGCCCCACGGAGCGUACACCUUAUUUGAGCUCAGUUUUGAGUUCAGUAAUGAAAACAACAGACCACAGUACUGGACUCGUACUGAAAUUACAGCUGGUCUCAUGAUCACAUUUGAUCCGUUUGUACGACUCUUCAAGUUUGUAGGCCGGGCAGGACCAGCUUUAGUUAGCCUGGGUCACAACAUCCACAACGCACUGACCGGUACCAGUGAUACACUGGCUGUUACCGAUAACGUCACCGGUCAGUGAAACAAAAGAAAUUCAGUUCAAAAGAAAUGUGUGUUCAAGUCCUUGCUCAGGGGCCAAAAUGUGGCAACUUUGCAGCAACGGGGCUUGAACCAACAACCUUCUGAUUACUAAUCCUUAAAUAAAAUUGACUAAAGCUUAA